CCUACGGGAGGCAGCAGUGGGGAAUAUUGGGCAAUGGGCGCAAGCCUGACCCAGCAACGCCGCGUGAAGGAAGAAGGCUUUCGGGUUGUAAACUUCUUUUGUCAGGGACGAAGCAAGUGACGGUACCUCACGAAUAAGCCACGGCUAACUACGUGCCAGCAGCCGCGUGAAUACGUAGGUGCGAAGCGUUACCCGGAUUUAUUGGGUGUAAAGGGCGUCUAGGGGGGAAUGCAAGUCAGAUGUGAAAAUUAUGGGCUCAACCCAUAGCCUGCAUUUGAAACUGUAUUUCUUGAGUGCUGGGGAGGCAAUCGGAAUGCCGGGUGUAGCGGUGAAAUGUGUAGAUAUACGGAGGAACACCAGUGGCGAAGGCAGAUUGCUGGACAGUAACUGACGCUGAGGCGCGAAAGCGUGGGGAGCGAACAGGAUUAGAUACCCUUGUAGUC
rnacentral:rRNA from 1 species